CUCGUUAGAUGAUUAUAAGUAAAUGAGGAUUGUUAAAGAUAGAUUCAUUAACAUUUGAAAGUAGGUAGUAAAAUUUUGUUGAAUAGUUGAUCAUACUCAUUAUUGUGUUAUAUAUGAAUAAUCUUAUGUACAUAUUCAUAUUAUACUUUUACUAAAAUAUACCUUUCUCAUUGCAGAUGUUGUUCGAAGAGUCGUUAUAUUAGGAGAUUCAAUUGUAAAGUUUUUACCACCGAUCGAGGGAGUUACUGUGCAGUCCUUUCCAGGAGCUACAGUUGAUUUCACAGUCUCAAGUCAUUGUUAUUAAGGUAAAGAAGAACUGUUUCUUAAGUUAUUGUUUUGCUUUUGCUUUGUUUUAUUGGCUGUUAUUUGGCGGGUGUUAAUGGAAUUUGGACAGUUUAGUUAAACACUUGAACUUUACCUUACAAAUGGAUUCCAUUUCCAUAAGUUGAACUUGUGAUUAUUACUAAGUAAGCAGUUGUAGCUUAUUUAUAAUCUGUCUUUGUUUAUUGAAUCAUUUGAUCAAAUAUAUUUUGAAUUGUGACACAUCUUAAGAUCAUUAAAUUUAUUAAUAUC
rnacentral:lncRNA from 1 species